UACGUAGGGUGCGAGCGUUGUCCGGAAUUAUUGGGCGUAAAGGGCUCGUAGGCGGUCUGUUACGUCGGGAGUGAAAACUCGGGGCUCAACCCCGAGCCUGCUUCCGAUACGGGCAGGCUAGAGUUCGGUAGGGGAGACUGGAAUUCCUGGUGUAGCGGUGAAAUGCGCAGAUAUCAGGAGGAACACCGAUGGCGAAGGCAGGUCUCUGGGCCGAUACUGACGCUGAGGAGCGAAAGCGUGGGGAGCGAACAGG
rnacentral:rRNA from 1 species